AUUGCACAAUGGGCGAAAGCCUGAUGCAGCAACGCCGCGUGAGUGAUGAAGGCCUUCGGGUUGUAAAGCUCUGUCUUCUGGGACGAUAAUGACGGUACCAGAGGAGGAAGCCACGGCUAACUACGUGCCAGCAGCCGCGGGAAUACGUAGGUGGCAAGCGUUGUCCGGAUUUACUGGGCGUAAAGGAUGCGUAGGCGGAUACUUAAGUCAGAUGUGAAAAUCCCGGGCUUAACUUGGGAACUGCAUUUGAAACUGGGUAUCUAGAGUGCGGGAGAGGAAAGUGGAAUUCCUAGUGUAGCGGUGAAAUGCGUAGAGAUUAGGAAGAACACCAGUGGCGAAGGCGACUUUCUGGACCGUAACUGACGCUGAGGCAUGAAAGCGUGGGGAGCCAACA
rnacentral:rRNA from 1 species